AAAUGCUCUGUAAAGCAGCCACUUGGCUAAGAUCAAGUGUAGUAUCUGUUCUUAUCAGUUUAGUAUCUGAUAUGUCCUCAAUGAGAGGACUUUAUAGUAAAUGGAUUUUUGGGUGUGGGAGUUGAUCUGGAGCCUGCUCCCUCUGCUCCAUGCAUCGUCCUGGUAUUGCAGUGCCUCCAGGAAUGGUGCACCAAAU